rnacentral:rRNA from 1 species
UACGUAGGGUGCGAGCGUUAAUCGGAAUUACUGGGCGUAAAGCGUGCGCAGGCGGCUUUGCAAGACAGAUGUGAAAUCCCCGGGCUCAACCUGGGAACUGCAUUUGUGACUGCAAGGCUAGAGUACGGCAGAGGGGGAUGGAAUUCCGCGUGUAGCAGUGAAAUGCGUAGAUAUGCGGAGGAACACCAAUGGCGAAGGCAAUCCCCUGGGCCUGUACUGACGCUCAUGCACGGAAGCGUGGGGAGCAAACAGG